rnacentral:rRNA from 1 species
CCCUUAGAUGUUCUGGGCUGCACGCGCGCUACAAUAAUACGCACAGCGAGUAUCACCGAGCUCGAAAGGGCAAGGUAAACAAUAGAAAAGGUACUGUAAUGGUUAUAGAUCCUUGUAAUUAUUGAUCUUCAACGAGGAAUUCCUAGUAAGUAUGUGUCAUCAUCACGCACUGAUUACGUCCCUGCCCUUUGUACACACCGCCCGUCGCUCCUACCGAUUGGGUGAGCCGAUGAAACUCUCGGAUGUAGGCUAUUCAUAGCCCGCAGAAGAGAUUUGAAUCGUAGCGCUUAGAGGAAGGAGAAGUCGUAACA